GAUGAAGAACGUAGUAAAAUGCGAUAAGUAAUGUGAAUUGCAGAAUUCAGUGAAUCAUCGAAUCUUUGAACGCACAUCGCGCCCGCCAGUAUUCUGGCGGGCAUGCCUGUUCGAGCGUCAUUUCAACCCUCAAGCACAGCUUGGUGUUGGGACUCGCGUUAAUUCGCGUUCCCCAAAUUGAUUGGCGGUCACGUCGAGCUUCCAUAGCGUAGUAGUAAAACCCUCGUUACUGGUAAUCGUCGCGGCCACGCCGUUAAACCCCAACUUCUGAAUGUUGACCUCGGAUCAGGUAGGAAUACCCGCUGAACUUAAGCAUAUCAAUAAGCGGAGGA
rnacentral:misc_RNA from 1 species